AUCUAAAUAGUUUAUUAAAAUGUUAAUUUGUGGGAUUAAAGAUAUGGUUUUACCAUUUUAGAUA
rnacentral:tRNA from 1 species